CCUGGCUCAGAGUGAACGCUGGCGGCAGGCCUAACACAUGCAAGUCGAACGGCAGCACAGGAGAGCUUGCUUCCUGGGUGGCGAGUGGCGGACGGGUGAGGAAUACAUCGGAAUCUACUUUUUCGUGGGGGAUAACGUAGGGAAACUUACGCUAAUACCGCAUACGACCUACGGGUGAAAGCAGGGGAUCUUCGGACCUUGCGCGAUAGAAUGAGCCGAUGUCGGAUUAGCUAGUUGGCGGGGUAAAGGCCCACCAAGGCGACGAUCCGUAGCUGGUCUGAGAGGAUGAUCAGCCACACUGGGACUGAGACACGGUCCAGACUCCUACGG
rnacentral:rRNA from 1 species